UCCGUAGGUGGCAAUCGUUGUCCGGCUUUACUGGGCGUAAAGAGCGCGCAGGCGGUCGUUCAAGUCGCGUGUGAAAGCCCCCGGCUCAACUGGGGAGGGUCACGCGAUACUGAUCGACUCGAAGGCAGGAGAGGGAAGUGGAAUUCCCGGUGUAGUGGUGAAAUGCUUAGAGAUGACAUAGAACACCUAGUGCGAAGGCAGCUUACUACGCAGAUAUUGACGCUCAUGCACGAAAGCGUGGGGAUCAAACAGG
rnacentral:rRNA from 1 species